rnacentral:rRNA from 1 species
CCUACGGGCGGCAGCAGUGGGGAAUAUUGGACAAUGGGCGAAAGCCUGAUCCAGCCAUGCCGCGUGUGUGAAGAAGGCCUUCGGGUUGUAAAGCACUUUCAGUGGGGAAGAAAGCCUUGGGGCUAAUACCCUCGAGGAAGGACAUCACCCACAGAAGAAGCACCGGCUAACUCCGUGCCAGCAGCCGCGGUAAUACGGAGGGGUGCGAGCGUUAAUCGGAAUUACUGGGCGUAAAGCGCGCGUAGGCGGUCUGAUAAGCCGGUUGUGAAAGCCCCGGGCUCAACCUGGGAACGGCAUCCGGAACUGUCAGGCUAGAGUGCAGGAGAGGAAGGUAGAAUUCCCGGUGUAGCGGUGAAAUGCGUAGAGAUCGGGAGGAAUACCAGUGGCGAAGGCGGCCUUCUGGACUGACACUGACGCUGAGGUGCGAAAGCGUGGGUAGCAAACAGGAUUAGAUACCCUGGUAGUC